rnacentral:rRNA from 1 species
UGGGGAAUAUUGGACAAUGGGCGAAAGCCUGAUCCAGCAAUGCCGCGUGAGUGAUGAAGGCCUUAGGGUUGUAAAGCUCUUUUACCCGGGAUGAUAAUGACAGUACCGGGAGAAUAAGCUCCGGCUAACUCCGUGCCAGCAGCCGCGGUAAUACGGAGGGAGCUAGCGUUAUUCGGAAUUACUGGGCGUAAAGCGCACGUAGGCGGCUUUGUAAGUUAGAGGUGAAAGCCUGGAGCUCAUCUCCAGAAUUGCCUUUAAGACUGCAUCGCUUGAAUCCAGGAGAGGUGAGUGGAAUUCCGAGUGUAGAGGUGAAAUUCGUAGAUAUUCGGAAGAACACCAGUGGCGAAGGCGGCUCACUGGACUGGUAUUGACGCUGAGGUGCGAAAGCGUGGGGAGCAAACGAGGAUUAGAUACCCUGGUAGUCCACGCCGUAAACGAUGAUAACUAGCUGUC